rnacentral:rRNA from 1 species
UACGUAGGGUGCAAGCGUUGUCCGGAAUUACUGGGCGUAAAGCGUGCGCAGGCGGUUUGUUAAGUCUGCUGUGAAAUCCCCGAGCUCAACUUGGGAAUUGCAGUGGAUACUGGCAGGCUGGAGUAUGGUAGAGGAAGGUGGAAUUCCCGGUGUAGCAGUGAAAUGCGUAGAGAUCGGGAGGAACACCAGUGGCGAAGGCGGCCUUCUGGACCAAUACUGACGCUCAUGCACGAAAGCGUGGGGAGCAAACAGG